GGAGAGUUUGAUCCUGGCUCAGAGUGAACGCUGGCGGCGUGCCUAACACAUGCAAGUCGAGCGGUCCUGCAUGUCGUAUCGCAGGAUAGCGGCAAACGGGUGAGUAACACGUAAGCAACCUGCCCUUAAGAGGGGGAUAACCUGUCGAAAGACGGGCUAAUACCCCAUAACAUCCGAAGGAGGCAUCUCCUUUGGAUUAAAGGAGUAAUCCGCUUAAGGAGGGGCUUGCGGCCUAUCAGCUAGUUGGUAGGGUAACGGCCUACCAAGGCUAUGACGGGUAGCUGGUCUGAAAGGACGGCCAGCCACAGGGGCACUGAGACACGGGCCCCACU
rnacentral:rRNA from 1 species